UAAUCCCAGCUACUGGGGAGGCUGAGGCAGGAAAAUUGCUUGAACCAGGAAGUGGAGGUUGCAGUGAGCUGAGAUCAUGCCACUGCACUCCAGCCUGGGUGACAAAGUGAAGGGGUGGCCUGCCCCUCCACACCUGUGGGCGUUUCUCGUUAGGUGGAAUGAGAGACUUGAGAAAAGAAAUGAGACACAGAGACAAAGUAUAGAGAAAGAGUGGGCCCAGGGGACCGGUGCUCAGCAUACAGAGGACCCACGGUGCACCAGUCUCUGAGUUCCCUCAGUAUUUAUUGAUCAUUAUCUUUACCAUCUUAGAAAAAGGGAAGUGACAGGACAAUAGGAUCAUCGUAGGGAGGUCAGCAGUAAGACACAGGAAUAAAGAUCUCUGUGACACAAGUUUAAGGAAAAGUGCUGUGCCUUGAUAUGCAUAUGUAAACAUCUUCAUAAACCUUUUUAGUGCAUAAAGAGCAGCACUGUGCUAGCAAGUCCCACCUUUCGCCCUAAGGUGGUUUUCUCCUUUCUCAGUAAACAACAUACAAUCGGGUUUUACACCAAGAUGUUCCAUUGCCCAGGGACGGGCAGGAGACAGAUGCUUUUCUCUAUCUCAACUGCCAAGAGGCUUUUUUCCUCUUGCACUAGUCCUCCUCAGCACAGACCCUUCACGGCUGUCAGGCUGGGGGGCAAUCAGGUCUUUCUCUUCCCACGAGGCCAUAUUUCAGACUGUCACAUGGGGAGAAACCUUGGACAAUACCUAGCUUUCCUAGGCAGAGGUCCCUGCGACCUUUGGCAGUGUACGUGUCCCUGGGUACUUGAGAUUAAGAGACUGGUGACGACUUUUAACCAGCAUACUGCCUUCAGGCACUUGUUUAACAAAGCACAUCCUGCACAGCCCAAAAUCCAUUAAACCUUGAGUCACCACAGCACAUGUCUCUUGCAAGGACAAGGUUGGGGGUAGGGUCACAGAUUAACAGCAUGUCAAAUACAGAACAAAAUGGAGUCUCUUAUGUCUACUUCUUUCUAUAUAGACACAGUAACAGGCUGAGCUCUCUGUCUUUUCCCCACAACAAAGUGAGACUCUGUCUCAAAAAAAAAAAA
rnacentral:lncRNA from 1 species